UACGGAGGAGGCCAGCGUUAUCCGGAAUUAUUGGGCGUAAAGCGUCCGCAGGUGGCACUUCAAGUCUGUCGUCAAAGACUGGGGCUUAACCCUGGAAAGGCGGUGGAAACUGAAGCGCUAGAGUGCGGUAGGGGUAGAGGGAAUUCCCGGUGUAGCGGUGAAAUGCGUAGAGAUCGGGAAGAACAUCGGUGGCGAAAGCGCUCUACUGGACCGCAACUGACACUCAGGGACGAAAGCUAGGGGAGCGAAUGGG
rnacentral:rRNA from 1 species